UACGUAGGGUGCAAGGCGUUGUCCGGAAUUAUUGGGCGUAAAGAGCUGCGUAAGGCGGUCCGUCACGUCGCUGUGAAACCCGGGACUCAACUCCGGGCCUGCAGUCGAUACGGGCGGACUAGAGUACUGCAGGGGAGACUGGAAUUCCUGGUGUAGCGGUGAAAUGCGCAGACUAGUCAGGAGGAACACCGGUGGGCGAAGGCGGGUCUC
rnacentral:rRNA from 1 species